rnacentral:tRNA from 1 species
AUUUAUAUAGUUUAACUAAAACCUUAUAUUUUCAUUAUAAAAAUAAACAUUUGUUUUAUAAAUU